GGCUCCGGGAGCCGCAGCGCUUCUCGGGCAGCGUGGGCUGCGGGCCCUGAAGGGGUUUGGGUGCAAGGCUUGCGCGGGUGGCGUGAGGAGAGGAGAGGGAAGGCGCGCCCCGGGCUAUUGCUUUAGAUGUUGGGUCGGGAGGUGCCGGUGUUUUCUUUAGCGUAGAGCUGGGUAAGAGAACAGGCAAAGCUGCCGUGCCGCUUGUGUGUCUUCCGGACAGAGCUGACCGCGCUGUUUGGAAUUUCUGUGGGCGGUCCGUGCAUGAAAUGCGUAAAUUCUGAUGCAGACUCCUCCUCUGCUUGCAUUUGGACCUUCAAGGAAGCAGGAAAGCUGUCGGUUCUGCUUUCAGCGGUGCGGGGAAAGCUGCUGUUCUUCUUGCUUUUAGGCCAAUUCAUUCUGCUGGCUUCUCCCAGCCUGACUGGCAGGUUUAAAACCCACUGUACACACAUAGAAGCAAGCUGCAGGUACCACUGAAGGUCUGUAGACUUACAGAAGGCUCAGAAGCAUGGAAAGCCUCUGUGCAGCCAACACCACUUUUGCAGUGGACCUGUUAAGGAUGCUGUGUGAGAAGAAAAGUGGGCAGAACGUGUUCUUUUCGCCCUUUAGUAUUUCUUCUGCUUUGUCCAUGGUUUUGCUGGGUUCAAAAGGUAGCACUGAAGCCCAAAUAAGCAAGGUAGGUCAAAAUAAACUUGGUGCUUUGCAUUGGAUGGGAGCAUAUGGGGAAGAGUCUGUGACAUGGACUUGUGCUCGACUGUGAUUGUCACUGAGGUGUGGGAGAGCAGAGCACUUUGUCAGGUGUGUGUGUGUGUGUUAUAAAUCCAUAUUGUGAUACUGGCUUUUGCAAGUAUUAGGAUGAAUAUUAUAUGUUAAAUAC